UAGGAGAGCAAAUCUAAUGAUCAAGCCAUGUCUAUGGUAUGUAACUGCUGAUGAAACAGAGAAGAGGGUUUUCUGUAUGCUAUCUAUUAAUGGUCAGUUAGAUAGAAAACACCUCCCCAAAGGUAGACUCGUCACUCUGAAAGGCACACCAGUGGGCAUUAAUAUCUGUCUUAAAUCAACAGCUACUGUGCAAUGACCAUGUUAGAGGUGAUCUAAGGAAAUGUCUGUGAAUGAAUAUCUCUAGAGAGUCUGUAAAAUAAAUCAGGUGAUUCAACACUUUUUUUCAGAAAAACAUCCUGUGAUAUAAUGUCUGUAAUAAAACCACUCCCCAAUGAAGAAGUGGUUUUACCUGCUGCUGAUUCUCCAGCUUCUGUGAGAAUCAUGACAAGUGAACCCAGUUUUUUUGGUCAGAGAUAAAAGUCCAUGGACUUAUUAUAACAAGCCCAUUACACUCAUUGCCAUUGGAGAACUGGUCUUUUUUGGUGGUAUCAUCCUCACUGCAUUGUACUUUAAAUAUGUAAGUGUCCCAUAUGCCCUGGGGCCUGUUUCUUUCUAUUGGACUGAUGUUUCUCAUCACAGGAAUUGUGUGGAUGCCAGUCCGAUAUAAUGGGCUUCUGAGAAGAAAACAUCCAAGAAAAUCCAGAGCUGCAUGCACUUCCAGUGUAUGAAUGAAACUCUUUUUUAUAAUGGUGUCAAAUUCAUGUAACUUUUUAUCUUUUGUGCCGCCAACUACUACAAUGCCAAAGGUGAACUGAAAAAGAUGUAAAGAUCACCUCAAUGUUAUUUGCUUCUGUUUUAAUCUUUUGCCUUUGUAUUAAAAAAUAAAGCUUCUGUUUUGAGCCA